rnacentral:rRNA from 1 species
ACAGAGGGUGCAAACGUUGUUCGGAAUCACUGGGCGUAAAGCGCGUGUAGGCGGCUAUGUAAGUCGGGCGUGAAAUCCCACGGCUCAACCGUGGAAGUGCGUUCGAAACUGUGUAGCUUGAGUCCUGGAGAGGAAGACGGAAUACUUGGUGUAGAGGUGAAAUUCGUAGAUAUCAGGUAGAACACCAGUGGCGAAGGCGGUCUUCUGGACAGUGACUGACGCUGAGACGCGAAAGCGUGGGGAGCAAACAGGAUUAGAUACCCUGGUAGUCCACGCCGUAAACGAUGAGUGCUAGGUGUCACGGGCUUUGACCCUCGUGGUGCCGAAGCUAACGCGUUAAGCACUCCGCCUGGGGAGUACGGCCGCAAGGCUA